ACUCCUACGGGAGGCAGCAGUGGGGAAUAUUGCACAAUGGGGGAAACCCUGAUGCAGCGACGCCGCGUGGAGGAUGACGGCCUUCGGGUUGUAAACUCCUUUUGUCAUGGGACCAAUGGUGAUGGUACCUGACGAGUAAGCCACGGCUAACUCCUGUGCCAGCAGCCGCGGUAAUACGUAGGGGACGAGCGUUGUCCGGAAUUACUGGGCGUAAAGGGCGCGCAGGCUGUGCUGCAAGUCAGCUGUUAAAUGUCUGGGCUUAACCCGGGCAUGCGGUUGAGACUGCAGUGCUGGAGUGCUGUAGAGGCAAGUGGAAUUCCCAGUGUAGCGGUGAAAUGCGUAGAUAUUGGGAAGAACACCGGUGGCGAAGGCGGCUCUCUGGAACGCAACUGACGCUGAGGCGCGAAAGCGUGGGUAGCAAACAGGAUUAGAUACCCUGGUAGUC
rnacentral:rRNA from 1 species